rnacentral:rRNA from 1 species
UACGUAGGGUGCGAGCGUUGUCCGGAAUUAUUGGGCGUAAAGAGCUCGUAGGCGGCUUGUCGCGUCGGAUGUGAAAGCCCGGGGCUUAACUCCGGGUCUGCAUUCGAUACGGGCAGGCUAGAGUUCGGUAGGGGAGAUCGGAAUUCCUGGUGUAGCGGUGAAAUGACGCAGAUAUCAGGAGGAACACCGGUGGCGAAGGCGGAUCUCUGGGCCGAUACUGACGCUGAGGAGCGAAAGCGUGGGGAGCGAACAGG